rnacentral:lncRNA from 1 species
GAGUUAAUAAUCUGGCACAAUAAUAGGAUUCUGAAACUUUCUUACUCAUGUCUGUUGCAUAAAGGAAAUGCAAAGGUAGGAUACUUGCACAAUAUAAAUAAUAGAUCAGAUACUUGCUCAAUAAUAAUUGGAGUAAGUUUAGGAAACUUGCAUAACAUGAUAUACCUGUUUGCACGAAAUAAAAGUAGUGCAUAAGGUUUAGAUACUUACCUGAGC